AUUGAACGCUGGCGGCAGGCCUAACACAUGCAAGUCGAGCGGAUGAAGGGAGCUUGCUCCUGGAUUCAGCGGCGGACGGGUGAGUAAUGCCUAGGAAUCUGCCUGGUAGUGGGGGAUAACGUCCGGAAACGGGCGCUAAUACCGCAUACGUCCUGAGGGAGAAAGUGGGGGAUCUUCGGACCUCACGCUAUCAGAUGAGCCUAGGUCGGAUUAGCUAGUUGGUGGGGUAAAGGCCUACCAAGGCGACGAUCCGUAACUGGUCUGAGAGGAUGAUCAGUCACACUGGAACUGAGACACGGUCCAGACUCCUACGGGAGGCAGCAGUGGGGAAUAUUGGACAAUGGGCCAAAACCUGAUCCAGCCAUGCCGCGUGUGUGAAGAAGGUCUUCGGAUUGUAAAGCACUUUAAGUUGGGAGGAAGGGCAGUAAGUUAAUACCUUGCUGUUUUGACGUUACCAACAGAAUAAGCACCGGCUAACUUCGUG
rnacentral:rRNA from 1 species